UACGAAGGGGGGCUAGCGUUGCUCGGAAUCACUGGGCGUAAAGGGUGCGUAGGCGGGUCUUUUAAGUCAGGGGUGAAAUCCUGGAGCUCAACUCCAGAACUGCCUUUGAUACUGAGGAUCUUGAGUUCGGGAGAGGUGAGUGGAACUGCGAGUGUAGAGGUGAAACUCGUAGAUAUUCGCAAGAACACCAGUGGCGAAGGCGGCUCACUGGCCCGAUACUGACGCUGAGGCACGAAAGCGUGGGGAGCAAACAGG
rnacentral:rRNA from 1 species